UCCCAGACUCCUACGGGAGGCAGCAGUGAGGAAUAUUGGUCAAUGGACGAGAGUCUGAACCAGCCAAGUAGCGUGAAGGAUGACUGCCCUAUGGGUUGUAAACUUCUUUUAUAUGGGAAUAAAACAGGGUAUGCAUACCCUCUUGUAUGUACCAUACGAAUAAGGAUCGGCUAACUCCGUGCCAGCAGCCGCGGUAAUACGGAGGAUCCGAGCGUUAUCCGGAUUCAUUGGGUUUAAAGGGUGCGUAGGUUGUUUUAUAAGUUAGCGGUGAAAUACCGAUGCUCAACAUCGGGGCUGCCGCUAAUACUGUAGGACUAGAGAUCGGAUGCAGCAGGCGGAAUGUGUAGUGUAGCGGUGAAAUGCAUAGAUAUUACACAGAACACCGAUUGCGAAGGCAGCUUGCUAGGCCGGAUCUGACACUGAUGCACGAAAGCGUGGGGAUCGAACAGGAUUAGAUACCCCAGUAG
rnacentral:rRNA from 1 species